rnacentral:rRNA from 1 species
GGCCAUCGCUCAACGGAUAAAAGGUACUCUGGGGAUAACAGGCUGAUACCGCCCAAGAGUUCAUAUCGACGGCGGCGUUUGGCACCUCGAUGUCGGCUCAUCUCAUCCUGGGGCUGUAGCCGGUCCCAAGGGUAUGGCUGUUCGCCAUUUAAAGAGGUACGUGAGCUGGGUUUAAAACGUCGUGAGACAGUUUGGUCCCUAUCUUCCGUGGGCGCUGCAAGAUUGAGAGAGCCUGCUCCUAGUACGAGAGGACCGGAGUGGACGCACCUCUGGUGUAUCGGUUGUCACGCCAGUGGCAUUGCCGAGUAGCUAUGUGCGGAAGAGAUAACCGCUGAAAGCAUCUAAGCGGGAAACUCGUCUCAAGAUUAGUCUUGCCGGGGCCUUGAGCCCCCUAAAGAGUCGUUCGAGACCAGGACGUUGAUAGGCUGGGUGUGGAAGCGCAGUAAUGCGUUAAGCUAACCAGUACUAAUUGCUCGUGAGGCUUGACCCUAUAACUUUG